CACAGAGGGGGGAGGGGGGAUAGAGGUGCAGAGAGAGAGAGGUACAGAAAGAGAGAGAGAGGCACAACGUUGUGCUGGAACACAAGAGAAAGUCGACAAUCAACAGUCAACUUCGAAUCAGCAAAGCAUGUGAGAAUAUCAGAACAUUUCCCACAUCAGAGGCAGAUCACCAUGACUGAAGUGGUAGCAGGGAAGACGUGGCAACCGCUGAAAUAACAAUAAAACCUCAUAUCAUAUCCUUACUGUACAACUCUUACAGAUUAGUCAGAACAAGAAUACCUCCUCAAACUAAAAAUCUGAAGUAAUCAGUCACCAAUUUCACAGGCGCUGCACAUGAGCUAAUCAAAUCACUCAAUCUUAUUUAUCCAUCAUCUUUGAUGUAUCUACACUUCAUCCACCCUCCCACCCUUUUGGCAGGAGGAGGGGGAGUCUGGAAACUGGACAUCCUGUCUUUAGUGGAGUCUGUCUUGACCGUGUAAGAUACACUGAGUUUCUAUUACCUUGUGGAUUUCUGAAGAAAUUGUUGCUGAAGGAAUUCAAUUCCGAGAAACAGCACAACACCACACACCCAUCACACCACAGGAGAUGGUGGCACCUUAAUCGGGGAGAAAGGGGUCGUGGUAAUGACUGGAGCAGGUUCAGGGGAAUGAACAUGACACGCAGAAAUCGUAAUGUUCAACCUGCGAGGACAGAUACAGAAACCGGGAAAAUUCCGAGCAACACAGCUCAAACAAAUGGAUUGGAGAGGUGGUGUGAAUACAUCUCUCUCUACAGCUCAGAGCAACUUGUCUCUGUGUUUCACCUGCAACGGUGAGAGAUGUCAAGAUGUGAAAAAGAUUUUCAACUCAAUGAGAGAUGACAAAAUUUGGACGCAAAGUACUGCAACGUCUGCCCUUCUUGGCUGUUCCCUGACCUCGUCUCCCUUUGCUGGGAAGUGUGUGCCAUGUGUUGAGGACCGCAAGGUCUACAUUGUUUGCCUUGACAUGCCCAAGGAUCUCAAACUGGACCUGGAGGAUGGUGAUGGCAACUCAUUUUCCUACACUGAAGCUACAUGCCCUAGACUGACGGCGUCUAGAGCUGUAGGUCACGCUGGACACAACAGUAAUUUCAGUGUUUGUGAGUUUCCUAGUGGAGUCAGAGGUCUUGCUGGGCAUGGUGGAGCAAUGAUCAGCAUUGGCAUGUUAGCAGCUGCCGUCAUCUUUGUCGCUUACUACAGAAGCCAGACCAAAUCAAGUAUUGUCUAGUGUCAACUUCAGAAGUCCACUCAGAGGAACACCAGACCCAUUUAAAGUUAUUAAAGACUGUCACGUCUACUGCUCCCCCUCUCCGGCGCACAGAGGGAGGGGGGCAGAACAUGAGACAGAGCUGCAUUUCAUGACAAAAUGUGAAAAAUAUAAAACAAUUAGAGAGUGUAAUUUCCCCAUUUUGAAACCCUUAUUCAAGGUUUCAAAGACCUCUCUGGUGAGAGUAGGCUACCCUUCCUGUUGGGGGAAGACGCAGAGAGCUGGGGGUUGGCAGCGCACUACAUUGCUGCCUGCCAUAAGAUGAGGGACAGUGUCUGACAGACCAAUCAACCUGCACAUAAGCUUUGGCAAUAUGUACAUUGUUACGUUAUGCCAAUAAAGUGAAUUGAAUUGACACACCCACACACACACACACACACACACACACACACACACACACACACACACACACACACACACACACACACACACACACACACACACACACACACACACAGAGAGAGAGAGGGGGAGGGAGAGAGAGCACAGGGGGGGGGGGGAGAGAGGCACAGUUAGGGAGAGAGGCACAGAGGGGGGAGAGAGAGAGCACAGAGGGGGAGGGGAGAGAGAGGGACAGAGGGGGGAUAGAGGUGCAGAGAGAGAGGUACAGAAAGAGAUAAUGCUGAACCUGAGUGGCUUCUGCCUUAGAACAGGACAGGUGAGGCUGUGUUGGUUAAGGAAUGUAUCUGUUAUUUAGCAGGUCACUGGGGACACAGAGAGGGAAUGCAAAGACAGGGAGAACAGCAAGUCGUACCUACUUACUAGAGCAAAGGCCAUUUGGAAGCAUGGUUUGAUCAGGAGGCUCACUUGAAGACAGUGGAUUACAAUAUCCUACUGGUCCUCAGCCACCUCCUUUAUAACAUCCAAAAUGUCAUCUUUAGAUUGAUUUGAUUAGGCACAAUACAAGCCGGGAUUUCUGGCUGCUCUAUUAGCAGGGCUAUUUCUCCAUGUUGUGGAUGUCUAUUCAUAUGUUUGUAUGUAUGCUGUCACUGUUUUAUUAUUAUUUGGAAAACCCCUACCCUGCCCCCCUUCCUCCUGAGAAGUGAUCAGCAGUCAUACCACUCUGAGCCCACCCACCACCUGAUCAUCCUGUCCUCUACCGUUACACCCCGCUGGAAACAGGAAACUACUGUGGAAAUGUGUAUAUUUGCAGAGCAAGUCGAUCAUAUCAGAUUGUUUAAUUAAAUAGAAUGUUCUGGAUCCCCCUCUCUGACACCAGCCUGAAACAUGUGACCUCACAGUAUACCUACAGUCUGAGCCAAAUGCUUAAGAACUAUUAGAGAAGAAUAAACACACUUCACAAUCACCACUAUAAUCUAAAACAUUAGGCUCACAACUUUCACAUUGCCAGAGACCUUAGAACACAAUAAGCAGACAGCUGUGGAUAUCAGAACAAAUAAACAUGGUAAUAUCCUGAAUGUGUAGCUUAUAGAGAGACCGGAAGUAUGGUGUAGAGAGACACAGCUCCAGGACUACACCCAGAAAACCCCUACAGUUUCCCAAUGAUGGCCAAAGGUUAAGUUGCUGCUGUGUGUGUGAGAGAGAGAGAAAGUGAGUUCUGUCUGAGGAGAACAGGGCAGGUGAGGCUACAGAAAUGUGCCUGUUAUUCAGCUGACUGCUCUUCCCCUUUUCGACUGAGUCAGUCUAGCUUGGACAAAACAUUUCUCAGAAACAGAUAGUAUAUGUGGUUUCCAUGGACACAGAGAUGUUACAGCUCGUUGAAAAAAGGAAACGUCACUAAACUGUUUAGUUAAAUAGGAGGUUCUAGGUCCCUCUAGCACCAGUCUGAAACAUGAGACCUCACAGUACCUACUGCUCAUUGCAGUGCAAUAAGUGGGCUGCUCUACUUGCCCAUUGUUGGGUUCUAGCUUGAAAUACACUUAUUCACAUUACCAUACUAGACCUUAUUGGUGCUUUACAUGUAUAAGGAAUGUAUAUGUUAGGGUCAAUGGAGGGUGGAUAAGAACUAGGUGUAUGGAAAGUUACUGGCUGACACAAUGGAGUGCAGAAAGUUUACAUUCUGUCAAAACAUGCUAUUGUUAAAUCUCAUGGCUCGUAAAGAGGGAGGCACAGGGCAACAGUCUUGUUUCAGUCACUGAUAAGGUAGGACAGUCGUAGAGUAGUGAGGAGCGAGGAAUUCGGACCGAGGUCAGAUCAGAUGAAGUGAGAGGAACAGUCCUAUUACACACACACACACUUCGACUCCCACAAAUGUUCUAGCAUCAGGCAGGGCCAUGACUACACCAGUGAGAGGAACCAAUUAAGUAGAAACAGAGAUGUAUUGGCUGUCUAGAUGUGCAAGGAGUUGAC
rnacentral:lncRNA from 1 species